rnacentral:rRNA from 1 species
AUACGGAGGGUGCAAGCGUUAUUCGGAAUCACUGGGCGUAAAGGACUCGUAGGCGGGUUGGCAAGUCAGAUGUGAAAUCCUACAGCUUAACUGUAGAACUGCAUUUGAAACUGCUAACCUAGAGUAUGGGAGGGGGAGAUGGAAUUAGUGGUGUAGGGGUAAAAUCCAUAGAUAUCACUAGGAAUACCGAAAGCGAAGGCGAUCUCCUGGAACAUAACUGACGCUAAGGCGUGAAAGCGUGGGGAGCAAACAGGAUUAGAUACCCUAGUAGUCC